rnacentral:tRNA from 1 species
CGGUCCGUAGCGUAACCUGGUAGCGCGUCUGCUGUCGGAGCAGGAGGUUGCUGGUUCAAAUCCAGCCGGACCGACCA